rnacentral:rRNA from 1 species
GGGUCAGUAGGUUGGUCGUGCUACCGGUACGUACUGGUCUCACUGAUUCCUCCUUCCUGAAGAACCGUAGUGCCAUUAAUUUGGUGUUGCGGGGAAACAGGACUGUUACUUUGAAAAAAUUAGAGUGUUUAAAGCAAGCUAACGCUUGAAUACAUUAGCAUGGAAUAAUGAAAUAGGACGAUCGAUCCUAUUUUGUUGGUUUCUAGGAUUGACGUA